CCUUGCUCUCUCGGACCUCAGUCCUUUCCGGGAGUUUGGGUCGCGCGCCUGCGGGGGCGGGCACGGAGCCAGCGACCGAGCCACAGUGGCGCGGCGAAGGCGAUGGCGGCGGCCGGAGAGGGGGAUCCCCUUCCUGCCGACAGCGUCGGUGUUGCAGUGGGAGCGGGUGGCUUAGUAGCCGUGUGCGCCUUCGGGAUCCUGUUCUCUGUCUACGCCAACCACAUGCAGCGGGGGAAGGAGCGGGACACCGAGCACCGGGCCGUCUGCAACCUGGCCCCUGGGUGAAGUGCUCCGCCGCCCUUGCCUCCAGAAUCCUUGUUGAGUCCAGCGCCUCCUUCCUGUCCAGGAUCACCUUCUGGUGGAUCACAGGGUUGAUAUCCCAGGCUACCACCAGCCCCUGGAGAGCAGUGGCCCCUGCUCCUUAAACAAGGAGGACACGCAGGAACAAGUCAUGCCUGUUUCCGCAAAGAACUGGAAGAAGAAAUGCGCCCAGUCUAGGAAGUAAGUGUGAGUUUCCUUAUCCUCUAGGAUGCCCCGGUUCCCUCCUUCCCGCCCUGUGGCCUGAAUCCAUGCUGUGUCCUUGGCAAUGCUGCUUGUUACUAGUUUUCUGGUUCUCACUUCUCCUCUGGGCCUCAGUUUGUUUUUCUGCCAAAUGGGGUAAAAUCUCUUAAUUCAUUAAGGCAACUGAGUAGAAAAGAAGAGAGAAGCUGGGCAUGGUGCCUCACGCCUGUA